rnacentral:rRNA from 1 species
GAUGAACGCUGGCGGCGUGCCUAAUACAUGCAAGUCGAGCGAAUGGAUUAAGAGCUUGCUCUUAUGAAGUUAGCGGCGGACGGGUGAGUAACACGUGGGUAACCUGCCCAUAAGACUGGGAUAACUCCGGGAAACCGGGGCUAAUACCGGAUAACAUUUUGAACCGCAUGGUUCGAAAUUGAAAGGCGGCUUCGGCUGUCACUUAUGGAUGGACCCGCGUCGCAUUAGCUAGUUGGUGAGGUAACGGCUCACCAAGGCAACGAUGCGUAGCCGACCUGAGAGGGUGAUCGGCCAAACUGGGACUGAGACACGGCCCAGACUCCUACGGGAGGCAGCAGUAGGGAAUCUUCCGCAAUGGACGAAAGUCUGACGGAGCAACGCCGCGUGAGUGAUGAAGGCUUUCGGGUCGUAAAACUCUGUUGUUAGGGAAGAACAAGUGCUAGUUGAAUAAGCUGACACCUUGACGGUACCUAACCAGAAAGCCACGGCUAACUACGUGCCAGCCGCCACCGUAA